GAGUUUGAUCGUGGCUCAGGAUAAACGCUGGCGGCAUGCCUAAUACAUGCAAGUCGAACGGGAGUGCUUGCACUCCAGUGGCGAACGGGUGAGUAACACGUAUCUAAUCUACCUUUUAGUGGGGGAUAACCUUUGGAAACGAAGGAUAAUACCGCAUAAGAUCUUCAUUAUGACAUCAGAAGAAGAGGAAAGAUCCGUUUGGAUCGCUAAAAGAUGAGGAUGCGGCGUAUUAGUUAGUAGGCGGGGUAAAGGCCCACCUAGACGAUGAUACGUAGCCGAACUGAGAGGUUGAUCGGCCACAUUGGGACUGAGAUACGGCCCAGACUCCUACGGGAGGCAGCAGUAGGGAAUUUUUCACAAUGGACGAAAGUCUGAUGAAGCAAUGCCGCGUGAGUGAUGAAGGUCUUCGGAUUGUAAGCUCUGUUGUAAGGGAAGAAUAAGCCAGGAAGGAAUGUCUUGGUGAUGACGGUACCUUACCAGAACGCCCGGCUAACUAUGUGCCAGCCGCCGCAGUAACG
rnacentral:rRNA from 1 species